UACGAAGGGGGCUAGCGUUGCUCGGAAUCACUGGGCGUAAAGGGCGCGUAGGCGGCCAUUCAAGUCAGAGGUGAAAGCCCAGGGCUUAACCCUGGAAUUGCCUUUGAUACUGUUUGGCUUGAGACCGGAAGAGGUAAGUGGAACUGCGAGUGUAGAGGUGAAAUUCGUAGAUAUUCGCAAGAACACCAGUGGCGAAGGCGGCUUACUGGUCCGUUCUGACGCUGAGGCGCGAAAGCGUGGGAGCAACAGG
rnacentral:rRNA from 1 species